GACGAACGCUGGCGGCGUGCUUAACACAUGCAAGUCGAACGGUGAAGCGCCUUCCUUUUUGGUGGGUGUGGAUGAGUGGCGAACGGGUGAGUAACACGUUAGUAACCUGCCCCCUUCUUCUGGAUAACCGCAUGAAAGUGUGGCUAAUACGGGAUAUUCUGGGUCUGUCGCAUGAUGGGUCUGGGAAAGAUAUUGUUUCGGUGGGGGAUGGGCUCGCGGCCUAUCAGCUUGUUGGUGGGGUGAUGGCCUACCAAGGCGGGGACGGGUAGCCGGCCUGAGAGGGGGGACGGACAGGAAGGGAAAGAGGGACGAGACAGAUACGGGAGGGAGGAGGAGGGGAGGAAGAGUGAAGAAUGGAAGAAGGAUGAAGCAACGACGCGGGGGGAGGGAAGGACGCCGGAGGGUUGAGAACCUCUUUUGGGAAAGAAGAAGGGCGGCCUCAUUUGUGGGUGGGUUGACGGUAGCUAGAGAAGAAGCGCCGGCUAACUACGUG
rnacentral:rRNA from 1 species